CUCCUACGGGAGGCAGCAGUGGGGAAUAUUGCACAAUGGGCGAAAGCCUGAUGCAGCGACGCCGCGUGGGGGAUGAAGGCCUUCGGGUUGUAAACUCCUUUCGCUAGGGACGAAGAUGUAUUUUGA
rnacentral:rRNA from 1 species